rnacentral:rRNA from 1 species
AACAGGAUUAGAUACCCUGGUAGUCCACGCCGUAAACGAUGUCGACUUGGAGGUUGUGCCCUUGAGGCGUGGCUUCCGGAGCUAACGCGUUAAGUCGACCGCCUGGGGAGUACGGCCGCAAGGUUAAAACUCAAAUGAAUUGACGGGGGCCCGCACAAGCGGUGGAGCAUGUGGUUUAAUUCGAUGCAACGCGAAGGACCUUACCUACUCUUGACAUCCAGAGAACUUAGCAGAGAUGCUUUGGUGCCUUCGGGAACUCUGAGACAGGUGCUGCAUGGCUGUCGUCAGCUCGUGUUGUGAAAUGUUGGGUUAAGUCCCGCAACGAGCGCAACCCUUAUCCUUUGUUGCCAGCGGUUCGGCCGGGAACUCAAAGGAGACUGCCAGUGAUAAACUGGAGGAAGGUGGGGAUGACGUCAAGUCAUCAUGGCCCUUACGAGUAGGGCUACACACGUGCUACAAUGGCAUAUACAAAGAGAAGCGACCUCGCGAGAGCAAGCGGACCUCAUAAAGUAUGUCGUAGUCCGGAUUGGAGUCUGCAACUCGACUCCAUGAAGUUGGAAUCGCUAGUAAUCGUGGAUCAGAAUGCCACGGUGAAUACGUUCCCGGGCCUUGUACACACCGCCCGUCACACCAUGGGAGUGGGUUGCAAAAGAAGUAGGUAGCUUAACCUUCGGGAGGGCGCUUACCACUUUGUGAUUCAUGACUGGGGUGAAGUCGUAACAAGGUAACC